rnacentral:rRNA from 1 species
UCGAGUGCGCGUACCGUAGCAAUACGGUAUGGCGCACGGCGCACGGGUGCGUAACACGUGGGCAAUCUGCCCUUCGAUGGGGAAUAACCUCGCGAAAGCGAGGCUAAUUCCGCAUAACAUUCCUUGGACCUCGGUUCGAGGACUCAAAGCCGUAAGGCGUCGAAGGAGGAGCCCGCGCACGAUUAGCUAGUUGGUAGGGUAACGGCCUACCAAGGCCUUGAUCGUUAGCUGGUCUGAGAGGAUGGCCAGCCACACUGGAACUGAGACACGGUCCAGACUCCUACGGGAGGCAGCAGUGGGGAAUCCUGCACAAUGGGCGAAAGCCUGAUGCAGCGACGCCGCGUGGGGGAUGAAGCAUCUCGGUGUGUAAACCCCUUUCGACCCGGACGAAUGCCUCGCAAGAGGAGUGACGGUACGGGUAUAAGAAGCCCCGGCUAACUACGUGCCAGCAGCCGCGGUAAGACGUAGGGGGCCAGCGUUGUUCGGAAUUACUGGGUGUAAAGGGUUCGUAGGCGGUGUGGCAAGUUGGGAGUGAAAUCUCUGGGCUCAACCCAGAGGCUGCUUCCAAAACUGCCGUGCUU